ensembl:lncRNA
GAAACAAACGCAUGCUUUGGGCAGCCUGCCUGGUCUUUUCCGAAGCUCCUCCCCGGAGACCUUGUAUCCCUGUAAGAUCGCCAGCUCUGAUGACCUUCCAUACGGUUGCCCUGCGGUUUGCUAACGCCGGGUGUGUUUACAUUGCUGCAUUUCCCGUCCAGGGUCCUCAGACUCCAGGGCCUCUGACAGGACCCCACCUCUGACAGCUGCUUUGCAGCGGUGAAAGGAAGCACCACCGCCCGAGGUUAAUCGGCGCAGAGAGGCAGAUUCUUCACAGUCUGAGCCACCCAGGAAGUUGGAGCGUCCAUUAAUGUAUGCAGUUCUCGGAGCGGCAAAAAGUUGGACACAACUUAGCCACUGAACCACAAAAUUAAUGUUGCUAGUCUCGGGGAACAGACGUCAGCAUGGAUCAUUUUCCCCCUUGUCUAGAUAGAGGAGAUCUGAGAGUUGGGCUCAUAAAAUCAGCUCCUGAAAAUCUCUCUCCGGAGGCCUGUCCUGCCAGCUUUGAACCCAGAGCACAGACGUCUCGUCUGCUGGCCACCCUGAGCUCCUUUCACGGGAGCUCAGCUGAAGGUCAGCAGCUACAGCAGCACCUGAUUGAAUCCUUG